rnacentral:rRNA from 1 species
CACGCCCUAAACGUUGCACACUCGUUGUUGGGAGAUUCGACCCUUUCAGCAACUAAGCUAACGCGUUAAGUGUGCCGCCUGGGAAGUACGGUCGCAAGACUAAAACUCAAAGGAAUAGACGGGGAUCCGCACAAGCGGUGGAGCAUGUGGUUUAAUUCGACAAUAAGCGAGGAACCUCACCAGGGCUAGAUAUCCAGCUGCAUUCUGAUGGAAACAUCGGAAGCCUUCGAGGGUGCUGGACAGGUGU